rnacentral:rRNA from 1 species
AUUGAACGCUGGCGGCAGGCCUAACACAUGCAAGUCGAACGAGUGGCGGACGGGUGAGUAAUGUCUGGGAAACUGCCUGAUGGAGGGGGAUAACUACUGGAAACGGUAGCUAAUACCGCAUACCAUCAGAUGUGCCGAUAUGGGAUUAGCUGGUUGGUGGGGUAACGGCUCACCAAGGCGACGAUCCCUAGCUGGUCUGAGAGGAUGACCAGCCACACUGGAACUGAGACACGGCCCAGACUCCUACGGGAGGCAGCAGUGGGGAAUUUUGCACAAUGGGGGCAAGCCUGAUGCAGCCAUGCCGCGUGUAUGAAGAAGGCCUUCGGGUUGUAAAGUACUUUCAGCGGGGAGGCGGUAUCCGCAGAAGAAGCACCGGCUAACUACGUGCCAGCAGCCGCGGUAAUUC